rnacentral:rRNA from 1 species
GUCCACGCCCUAAACGAUGCCGACUAGCUGUUUCGAGUAUCGACCCUCGGAGUGGCGUAGCUAACGCGUUAAGUCGGCCGCCUGGGAAGUACGAUCGCAAGAUUAAAACUCAAAGGAAUAGACGGGGACUCGCACAAGCGGUGGAGCAUGUGGUUCAAUUCGACACAAAACGAAAACCUUACCAAGGCUUGAAAUGUACUUGAAUACAGGUGGAAACAUUUGUCGUCCCUUAAAAGACAAGUGCACAGGUGCUGCAUGGUUGUCGU